UACGUAGGCGGAAAAUUAAGUCAGUAGUGAAAUCCCACAGCUUAACUGUGGAACUGUUAUUGAUACUGGUUUUCUUGAAUAUAGUUGAGGUAGGCGGAAUGUGUAAUGUAGCGGUGAAAUGCUUAGAUAUUACACAGAACACCGAUUGCGAAGGCAGCUUACUAAACUAUGAUUGACGCUGAGGUACGAAAGCGUGGGGAGCGAACAGGAUCAGAUACCCUGGUAGUCC
rnacentral:rRNA from 1 species